rnacentral:lncRNA from 1 species
AAAAAAUUCAGUCACGCAUAUGCAUUCCCACAUGCAUAUAUAGAUUUCCUACCGAACCAAGAUAUUUCAUCCAAAAACUUUCCCGCCGAAACGGGAAGUUAAAAAAAAAUCCAAUUAUCCAUCUGCAUUCCCAUGCAUCACUUCAUGUAUACCUUUCCUACCAAAACAUGAAAUUUCAUCAAAAACAAAAUUAUCUACAUUCCCACA